rnacentral:rRNA from 1 species
AACGAACGCUGGCGGCAGGCUUAACACAUGCAAGUCGAACGCCCCGCAAGGGGAGUGGCAGACGGGUGAGUAACACGUGGGAACAUGCCCAAAGGUACGGAAUAUUCUCGGGAAACUGGGAGCAAUACCGUAUGUGCCCGAAAGGGGAAAGAUUUAUCGCCUUUGGAUUGGCCCGCGUUGGAUUAGCUAGUUGGUGGGGUAAAAGCCUACCAAGGCGACGAUCCAUAGCUGGUCUGAGAGGGCGACCAGCCACACUGGGACUGAGACACGGCCCAGACUCCUACGGGAGGCAGCAGUGGGGAAUCUUGGACAAUGGGCGCAAGCCUGAUCCAGCUAUGCCGCGUGAGUGAUGAAGGCCCUAGGGUUGUAAAACUCUUUCGUGGGGGACGAUAAUGACGGUACCCCAAGAAGAAGCUCCGGCUAACUUCGUGCCAGCCGCCGCCGUAACAC